CUCAAAUUCUGUUUGAUCAGAAAUGCUGUAGCAUAAUAAAGGGAGCAGAUGAAUGACUGAAGCCCUACAGCUCCACUAAAGAUUAGAGUAAAAUCUGCACUUCAAAAGAUCCUGUAUUCUUGCAAGAGAACAGAGCUCCUGAUCACCUGUGUGCGUCCUUUGAGUGGAUGGCAGCUGCAUCUCUGCAUUACAGCUAGUUAGAAUGAUGAGUCCUUGCUAUGCCUCAAGCACUGUUUCGAGUGUUUGAUGUCUAUUAUCUCACUUCAUCCUCACCAGGACCCCAUCCGAGGAUUUGCGACUUGAGUAGCAUUGACGGUGGUGAUGGGGAGCCUGGCAAGACAGCAGAUGUCUACAGCAAGAGGAGGGAAUGGGAAGCUGCUCUGAUGGCGUAAUCAUCAAGGUUGCUGAUAAAAUGGCCUUAAUUUCAGUUGACAGUAACUAUUGGAUCCCCAGGAAUAUGUUUGCAUAUUUGGGGAGAAAAUACUAUUGGAGGGGAACAGAAAUGCUACUAAGGGUCUCACUGUGUCACCCAGGCUGGAGUCCAUCAAAGCUCACUGCAGCCUUAACCUUCUGUGCUCAAGGGAUCCUCCCACUUAAGCCUCCUGAGUAGCUGGAACUACAGGCAUAUGCCACCGAGCCUGGCUAAUCUUUGAUUUUUUUGUACAGAUUGUGUCUCCUUAUGUUGCUCAGGCUGGACUCAAACUUCUGGUCUCAAGCGAUCUUUCCAUCUUAGCUUCCCAAAUUGUUGGAAUUAUGGACAUGAGCCAGUGUGCUUGGCCUGAUUUUUUUUUUUUUUUAAUGAGAAAAACGUUCCUUAAGAAAAGUUUCAUUGUAGUAAGUAAUCAGGAUGAAUAGCAUAUAUUAGCUCCGAAAAACUUUGGAAGCCUUCUUACUUCACUGAAAGUGGGGUUUAUCAACUCAGCUGCCAACGGCUUUCCUCCCAUUUAGCCUUUGUGUGAAAAACACAAUUAAUACUUUCUUGAGUAGUACAAGCUGAGCCGAGAAACCAUCUUUCAGAGGUGUAAAUUCUUGCCUUGGGUGGAAGGCUGGAUGUUAUUAACUUUCACAAUUUCUUUCAACACUUGAUUUUCCUCAAUCAUGGUAAAGACAUAUUAUUUAUUUUUCUUUUUAGUUGGGAAAGUUGAUUCACGUGACUUUUGCAUUUUGUAGAAUUUUUAAGAGGUAAGAUGAAAAUUAAACAUUUGUGCGUGUUAAGGAUCCAUGUUUCUCUGUCAGAUGUCUGGUAAUUUGCUUGACGAUUUUUGCAAAGAUAAUUUAGAAAUUAAGGAAACCAUUCUCUACGUUUUUCUUUACAUUAAAAGAAAAAAGUCUCCAAUAAAAAAUUUCUCUAUCCACAUUACAGGUUAAUUUACAAUUUCAGCUGCUGGUGGCUGGCUUGAGGCCUCAAUGUUAAAAAUGAGAAUGAGGCUAAUUCUAGUGAAUAGAGGUCCACACAGACAAUUGCUAUCUUUGUUAGAUGCUCCAGUACCAAGCCUAAGAAUAGGAAAAAAACUAAAAACACCCUGGAAAUGUAACAGAAUCAUCUUUUGCUGCCAUCUUUCUCUUCAGUAUAAGCUGAGCAUGUGUUUGAUGCAUAGCGGUGUGGGAACUAUAUACUUUCUUCUUACUUUCCUUCAGUAAAGGAGCUUAGCUCCAUUAAGCAUUGUUCAAGAUAGUGUAUUUAAAAUUAACAUAAAAGGUAAAAGAUUUUAAUGCCUUUUAAUAUAAGGAAAAUUGAUUUUAUUAAAAUGCUUUAAGAUACUACAAUACAAUUACUUAUUUAUCACUCUAACUCUGUAUUGUGAGUGUAGCUUCCUUUCCAAGUAUACUGAUUUUUUUAUGGGUUUUGGAAGUAGGAAACGAACCAAAGUAGUCUAUCAAAAUUCUCAUUCACCGUCUUUCUUAAGCAGAACCAAGUCCAUCAUGCCGACGGAGACUAUUUCAAGAGUAGAAAUUCUUUUUAUUCAAAGGGGUAGGAUUAAACAAUGAAAGACAGGUUAUAUUUUUCUAACCUGUGUUUUGCUGAGCUGAAGCAUGAAAUAUCAAAUAUUUAUAAUAAAGUAUUCAUAGUUAAGUACACUGAAUCAUUAAAAUGUUGGAAAUAUUGAAAUGGAUGAUCGAUCUUAUUGGAGUCCUUGUGUGAUACAGGAACUUCUGUAUUUACUGUUAACAAGAAAAACUCAAAAGGUUACAUUCCUUUUUAGAUUCAGAGCUCAAAUAGAAUUGAUUUAAAAUUUAAAGCACUUCUAAUAAGACAUUUCAGCAUUGCAUAAGUUAAACAUGGAGAAAAAAAUAAAUACAUUUAUGUUUUUCUAUUAAUACUUACUCUAAGUUGUUUACUAGAACUCAGAAUAAAUGUCUCUAAAGAUUUAGUUUUAAUUUUUGGCUGCUUAGCUCUUACAAUGACAUUUAUUCUGAGUACCAUAUUAAAUGUGUAGUAAUAAUUAUAUGUAUUUUUCCUAGCUUGUGAUAUGAGGUAUCUUGCAUUUUGGCAUAUUAUUCUGAUUUUAGAGACAGGGUCUUGCUCUGCUGCCCAGGCUGGAAUGCAGUGAUGUGAUCACAGCUCACUGCAGUCCUGUACUCUUAGGCUUAAGUGAUUCUCCUGCCUCAGCCUCUGAAGUAUCUAGGAUUACAGGCAUGUGGCACUAUAUCUGGCUAAUUUAUUUUUUAAUUUUUUUGUAGAGACGAGGACUUGCUAUGUUGCCAGUUUGGUCUUGAACUCUUGGUCUCAAGUGAUUCUCCUGCCUUGGGUUCCCAAAGCGUUGGGACGGCAGAUGUCAGCCACCGCGCCUGGCCUUAUUCUUAUAAACUCAAAAUUAUCUGAAUUCAAGCAAGGUAAUGUAUUUCACAGCAUCACUGAAAUAUAAAGAUGUAUCAUCUCGGGAUAAGAACUAGGCUGAUGUCAGUUAUGCAUCCUGCUAUUAGCUCCCUUGUUAUUUAAUACCAUGGAAUAAAAAGGCAGCGUGAAAGUCUUUUUGCCACUAUUGCCUGGCUUUUAUUGCAGCUACUCUUGCAUCUAUAAUAGUGGAAGGGAAGAGCAAUACGGAUUGUAAAAUGAACUCCAUAGAAGAUCCACUGUGGUCAGUAGAUCAAGGCAUGACAGUAUUGACGUUAAGAAUGGACACUGGAGUCCAGUAUAUACGGAUUCAAAUCUGAAUGCUCAGUAGCUGUAUGACUUGGGCAGUUACUUAACCUAUUUGGGUUUGAGUUUUCUUGUCUUCAUCUGUAAAAGUAGGGCUGUUAGAGGUUUAAGUGAAUAUAUGUGCACAUAUGUAUAUAUAUUAAGAGAUAUACAUGAUAUAUAUAAAUAAAAUAUAUAUCUAUUCCCUUGAGAUAUAUAUAUGAAUAUGUGUAUUCCCCUGAGAUAUAUAUGAAUAUAUAUAUAUUCCCCUAAGAUAUAUACAUAUAUAUAUUUUCACAUAUUUCUUUACACACACACACAGACACACACCCCUUAGAAGAGUUCCUUGUAGGUGGUAAGUGCUAAUUAGAUAUUAACUAUCAUCACAUUGCCGUCUCAUUUCUGUAUUUGAAUUACUAAUUAGUAACACAAUUGAAUGAUCUGAUGGUUCCUUCUUUUCCCUGCUUUUUCCUUAAAGGAUCAAAGGUUGCAGCAAAAUGUCACAUUUAAGAAGCUGAGUAAACACAGAAUGAGAAGCCCUAAAGCGAGGUGCUGUGUUAAUAGACAGGCUAAUCACUUCCUGAAUACAUAAGAACUAGCUCUUUGUAGAACUAGCAGAGAGACUGCUAACAGGUUUUUGUUUUAGAUUGAUGGAUUGAUUUUCCAGGAACAGGCCUGAUGAGAGCCCUCAUAAAAAUUGCCUCUCAUAGCCUAUUGCAAAUAAGUAUAAUCUUACAUAAAUCAAAGCACUAGUACGUAAGCAUCCCAAGGACAGAGAUUUUGUCUGUGUUGGUUCACAGCUAUAUCCAGAGUUCAGGCAAGUGCCUGGCAAAUAGUGGAGGCUCAGUAAGUAUCUCUUGAGUGAACUGAAUGAAUGAAAACCUUGACUUUUCCUUUAAAUAGGAUUAACAUUAAAAGCAAAACAAAACAGCAUGCUUUCCUACUUCCUUGAUGGAUUUCUGACCCUAAGAAUGCUGUUAGGCAAGUAAGAAGGGCUGGAGAGCAGCAUGUGAAGGGCACAGUGCAAAUGUGUACAUUUAGCAAGUAUUUCAGAAAUCUCGGAUUUGGUGAAGUAUUUGCUGGAGUGUGUGGUGUGAUGUCACACUUAACUCAGAUACAUGUGUCACAUUUGAAUUACAAAUAUUCUGUCCAGCAUCUCCCUAACUUGAGUGACUAUGCUUAUACUUUUUUCUACACAGGGUUUUCAUAAAUCUUUGAUCCUUGACCAAGUGUCAUAGAGAACUUUUCUUAAGUGAAACUCUCUGCAAACAGUUAGCUUAUAUUUAAGUUUCUAUUCAGCUUUGAGUAUAGUAUUUUGGCUAAAAUAAUGUUUUGCAUGGUCCAUUUCACAGGUGAGGUUGAUUAUAUAGCAUUCAUUACUCUUAAUUUAGCUUACAACCUCAGAUAGUGGUUUAAAAUAUAUAACACUCAUAACUAUGUCUAAGUUAAUCAAAUUUAAAUUAUUUUCUACUCCUGUAGCAAACAUUUUUUGAAAACAGAAAAAAGUCCCUUUUUACAGCAUAGGCUCGCUGAUAAUUUGAAUAGAAAACCACUCAUUUCUAUACAUGAAAUUUUCCUGAUUGUCUUUGUAAUAAAAACUGAGAGGAUAUUCGUCAUCCCUGGCUGAGCUGCACUGAAUUCUACUCUUUUAUACAUGUAAUAAAACAGCAAACAACAUCAAAAUACAUUAUUAAUUAGGCAUGAAUUUCUUAAAAUGGUUUACAUCAUCUCAUUUAACUUCAGAGCUUGCAGACAUUAACAGUAAGUCACCACAAAGCUACCAUUGAUUUAUAAUGCACAUUACCACAUCAAGCCUGGCCCAAGGACUCUGGGCCCAGAAGGAAAAACAGCCAUGGCAGAAAUAUAAUGAAAACAUAUCUGUAUUCACAGAAAACAAUUAGGCUUAAUGUAAUUAGAGUGAACAUUCAGGUUCAUUUUAUUCAAAGGUAAUGUUUCU
rnacentral:lncRNA from 10 species